CAGCCGCCACGGUAAUACGUAGGGUGCAAGCGUUAAUCGGAAUUACUGGGCGUAAAGCGUGCGCAGGCGGUUUUGUAAGACAGGCGUGAAAUCCCCGGGCUCAACCUGGGAAUGGCGCUUGUGACUGCAAAGCUAGAGUGCGGCAGAGGGGGAUGGAAUUCCGCGUGUAGCAGUGAAAUGCGUAGAUAUGCGGAGGAACACCGAUGGCGAAGGCAAUCCCCUGGGCCUGCACUGACGCUCAUGCACGAAAGCGUGGGGAGCAAACAGGAUUAGAUACCCGGGUAGUCCCUGUCUCUUAUAC
rnacentral:rRNA from 1 species